rnacentral:rRNA from 1 species
UGUUAGGUCAAGGUGCAGUGUUUAAAAGAAAUAUAUGGGUUACAUUAUAAAUUAUGAAUGAAUUUAAUUAAAAUAAGAUUAAUGAAAUAGGAUUUAAAAGUAAAAUUAAUUUAAGAAUUGUAAUGAAUAAAGAUUCUGAAAUAUGUACACAUCGCCCGUCGCUCUUAUAAUUUUAAUAUAAGAUAAGUCGUAACAUAGUAGGAGUACCGGAAGGUGCUCCUGGAUUUAAGUAAAUAGCUUAAAUAAAAAGUUUAUUAUUUACAUUAAUAGGAUACUUCUAGAGUUUUACUUAGGUAAUAAAAUUAGUAAUUAAUCUUAUAUAAUUAAUUGUGAAGGGGGGUUCAUAUUUAAUUAUAAAAGAGGAAUGAUUUUCGUACCUUU